rfam:Candidatus Bathyarchaeota archaeon B24 scaffold398, whole genome shotgun sequence.
GGGCCCGUAGCUCAGAACGGUAGAGCGGCAGGCUCUUAACCUGUUGGUCGGGGGUUCGAUUCCCCCCGGGCCCG